rnacentral:rRNA from 1 species
UCAAGUGUCUUAAGGGCAUUUGGUGGAUGCCUUGGCAUGCACAGGCGAUGAAGGACGUGAUACGCUGCGAUAAGCGUCGGGGAGGUGCGAAUACCCUUUGAUCCGACGAUUUCCGAAUGGGGCAACCCACCUUAGAUAGCUAGAAAAUCACUUUAGUUGGAGCAAGUCUGUUGGGUAAGUGCCCAUACAGACCGCUAGGUCGUCGGUCCUUAUGGACCGUCCCUGCGGAGUGCCAGCAGCGCAAGCUGCGUACGGCACGCGAGCAAGAACUAAAAUGAUUUCUAGUUAUCGUAAUAAGGUAUCUAACCUUGAAUACAUAGGGGUUAGAAGCGAACCUGGGGAACUGAAACAUCUAAGUACCCAGAGGAAAGGACAUCAAACGAGACUCCGCUAGUAGUGGCGAGCGAACGCGGACCAGGCCAGUGGCUUAUGUGAGUAAAGUGGAACAAUCUGGAAAGGUUGGCUAGAGUGGGUGAUAGCCCCGUACACGCAACACGAUCAUAAGUCCUUGAGUAGGGCGGGACACGUGAAAUCCUGUCUGAACAUGGGUAGACCACUAUCCAAGCCUAAGUACUCGUGCAUGACCGAUAGCGAACCAGUACCGUGAGGGAAAGGUGAAAAGCACCCCGACGAGGGGAGUGAAAUAGUACCUGAAACCGAAUGCCUACAAACAGUUGGAGCCCAAGAUUUGUUCUGGGUGACAGCGUACCUUUUGUAUAAUGGGUCAGCGACUUAGUGUAACGAGCAAGCUUAAGCCGGUAGGUGUAGGCGUAGCGAAAGCGAGUCUGAAUAGGGCGUUCAGUUCGUUGCAUUAGACCCGAAACCAAGUGAUCUAGCCAUGAGCAGGUUGAAGGUACGGUAACACGUACUGGAGGACCGAACCCAUAUCUGUUGCAAUAGAUCGGGAUGACUUGUGGCUAGGGGUGAAAGGCCAAUCAAACUUGGAGAUAGCUGGUUCUCCGCGAAAUCUAUUUAGGUAGAGCGUCCAGCGAAUACCCCCGGGGGUAGAGCACUGAAUGGGCUAUGGGGACUCACCGUCUUACUGAUCCUAAUCAAACUCCGAAUACCGGGGAGUACUACUGGGCAGACACACGGCGGGUGCUAACGUCCGUCGUGAAGAGGGCAACAACCCUGACCACCAUCUAAGGUCCCUAAGUUAUGGCUAAGUGGGAAAGGAUGUGAGGAUCCCAAAACAACCAGGAUGUUGGCUUAGAAGCAGCCAUCAUUUAAAGAAAGCGUAACAGCUCACUGGUCUAAAUAAGGGUCUUUGCGCCGAAAAUGUAACGGGGCUAAAGCCAUGCACCGAAGCUGAGGAUUUGCAGUUUACUGCAAGUGGUAGCGGAGCGUUCCGUAAGCCUGUGAAGGGAGACCCGUGAGGGCUCCUGGAGGUAUCGGAAGUGCGAAUGUUGACAUGAGUAACGAUAAAGGGAGUGAGAGACUCCCUCGCCGAAAGACCAAGGGUUCCUGCUUAAAGUUAAUCUGAGCAGGGUUAGCCGGCCCCUAAGACGAGGCGGACACGCGUAGUCGAUGGGAACCACGUUAAUAUUCGUGGGCCUGGUGGUAGUGACGGAUUGCGUAACUUGUACAUUCUUAUUGGAUUGGGUGUGCAGGGAAGCGGUUCCAGGAAAUAGCUCCACCGUAUAGACCGUACCCGAAACCGACACAGGUGGUCAGGUAGAGUAUACCAAGGCGCUUGAGAGAACUCUGCUGAAGGAACUCGGCAAAUUGCACGCGUAACUUCGGAAGAAGCGUGACCCCAAGGCACGCAAGUGUUUUGGGGUGGCACAGACCAGGGGGUAGCGACUGUUUAUCAAAAACACAGGGCUCUGCGAAGUCGCAAGACGACGUAUAGGGUCUGACGCCUGCCCGGUGCUGGAAGGUUAAGAGGAGAGGUGCAAGCUUUGAAUCGAAGCCCCAGUAAACGGCGGCCGUAACUAUAACGGUCCUAAGGUAGCGAAAUUCCUUGUCGGGUAAGUUCCGACCUGCACGAAUGGCGUAACGACUUCCCCGCUGUCUCCAACGCAGACUCAGUGAAAUUGAAUUCCCCGUGAAGAUGCGGGGUUCCUGCGGUUAGACGGAAAGACCCCGUGCACCUUUACUAUAGCUUUACACUGGCAUUCGUGUCG